GUGGAGCCGUAGCGAAAGCGAGUCUGAAUAGGGCGUUUAGUAUUUGGUCGUAGACCCGAAACCAGGUGAUCUACCCUUGGUCAGGUUGAAGUUCAGGUAACACUGAAUGGAGGACCGAACCGACUUACGUUGAAAAGUGAGCGGAUGAACUGAGGGUAGCGGAGAAAUUCCAAUCGAACCUGGAGAUAGCUGGUUCUCUCCGAAAUAGCUUUAGGGCUAGCCUCAAGUGAUGAUUAUUGGAGGUAGAGCACUGUUUGGACGAGGGGCCCCUCUCGGGUUACCGAAUUCAGACAAACUCCGAAUGCCAAUUAAUUUAACUUGGGAGUCAGAACAUGGGUGAUAAGGUCCGUGUUCGAAAGGGAAACAGCCCAGACCACCAGCUAAGGUCCCAAAAUAUAUGUUAAGUGGAAAAGGAUGUGGCGUUGCCCAGACAACUAGGAUGUUGGCUUAGAAGCAGCCAUCAUUUAAAGAGUGCGUAAUAGCUCACUAGUCGAGUGACACUGCGCCGAAAAUGUACCGGGGCUAAACAUAUUACCGAAGCUGUGGAUUGUCCUUUGGACAAUGGUAGGAGAGCGUUCUAAGGGCGUUGAAGCAUGAUCGUAAGGACAUGUGGAGCGCUUAGAAGUGAGAAUGCCGGUGUGAGUAGCGAAAGACGGGUGAGAAUCCCGUCCACCGAUUGACUAAGGUUUCCAGAGGAAGGCUCGUCCGCUCUGGGUUAGUCGGGUCCUAAGCUGAGGCCGACAGGCGUAGGCGAUGGAUAACAGGUUGAUAUUCCUGUACCACCUAUAAUCGUUUUAAUCGAUGGGGGGACGCAGUAGGAUAGGCGAAGCGUGCGAUUGGAUUGCACGUCUAAGCAGUAAGGCUGAGUAUUAGGCAAAUCCGGUACUCGUUAAGGCUGAGCUGUGAUGGGGAGAAGACAUUGUGUCUUCGAGUCGUUGAUUUCACACUGCCGAGAAAAGCCUCUAGAUAGAAAAUAGGUGCCCGUACCGCAAACCGACACAGGUAGUCAAGAUGAGAAUUCUAAGGUGAGCGAGCGAACUCUCGUUAAGGAACUCGGCAAAAUGACCCCGUAACUUCGGGAGAAGGGGUGCUCUUUAGGGUUAACGCCCAGAAGAGCCGCAGUGAAUAGGCCCAAGCGACUGUUUAUCAAAAACACAGGUCUCUGCUAAACCGUAAGGUGAUGUAUAGGGGCUGACGCCUGCCCGGUGCUGGAAGGUUAAGAGGAGUGGUUAGCUUCUGCGAAGCUACGAAUCGAAGCCCCAGUAAACGGCGGCCGUAACUAUAACGGUCCUAAGGUAGCGAAAUUCCUUGUCGGGUAAGUUCCGACCCGCACGAAAGGCGUAACGAUUUGGGCACUGUCUCAACGAGAGACUCGGUGAAAUCAUAGUACCUGUGAAGAUGCAGGUUACCCGCGACAGGACGGAAAGACCCCGUGGAGCUUUACUGUAGCCUGAUAUUGAAAUUCGGCACAGCUUGUACAGGAUAGGUAGGAGCCUUUGAAACGUGAGCGCUAGCUUACGUGGAGGCGCUGGUGGG
rnacentral:rRNA from 1 species